rnacentral:lncRNA from 1 species
CUCCUCAAUUAAUUUUUAUUUUUAACCAUCAAAACCUAUCAAAGUAUUUGAAAUAUAUGAUUGAAUAGGAUAAAGAGUUUAAUUUUGUAACCAUCGUUGAAGUUUCAUAAUGAAUACAAGUUUUAUUUUAUGUCCUCGGGUUAGUCAAUUACAUUAAAAGUUGGUUGAAUGGAGCAAAAUCAUUAAAAUGUUUCCCCCCUAGAAAGAUAAAUCAAGCAAUAUGCAUGGUUAUGAACAUAAUAAUCUCAAAAGAAAGAUGGUAGAUGAAAAGAAAUUUGUUGUGCAGUGUCAUAGAUGAUUCAAAUGGAGGUACAUACCAACAAAGGAGAGGUAUGAAAAAUUAACAGCACAUUUAUUAGAUCAUCCCUUCUUAUAUGAAGGCUCUCAUUAGAGACAUCUAUAUAUGAUUGGACGAUACACAUGAGAUCACUCAAAAAGAAAGAAAAUUGUGGGCUUUUGAUAAGCCCAGUAUUCCACAAUUAGGUUUCAAGUUGAAUGACAUCAUGUGUAAUAUCAGAUGAUAUAUUAGAACGCCACUCAUGAGUGUCUUCACAACAAAAGGUUUGCAGGUUCAAUAUCAUGCAUAUUAUUUUGGUCUAUCUUUCUAGGAGUGAAAACUCCUAUGACCAAACUCUUAUUGCAAUUAAUCAACCCGAGGACAAAAAAUAUAAUUUGUAUUCAAUAGGAAAUUCCGCCGACAAUUAAAAGUGACACAACAUAAAAAAGUCUAUUAUCCUAUUUAAUCAUAUAUCUUGAUAAAAUAAAUGUGUUUAUAAUAAAAGUAGAACCGAUAUAUAAAUAUAUUAUAAGAGUUUAUAACGUAGCAUUAGCUAAAAGAUCUCAUAGCUCCUAAAUCCUAACAGAUCCCAUAGCUCCUAAAUUCUAACACAUCCUGUAGCUCCUAAAUUCAGACAGAUUUCUACAAAAUUUAAGAAUUCAUAAUAAAUCUAACCAUUUCUCUUGGCAGUGAACUACACAGUACCACCAAAGCUUCAGAUCUAUCUCCUCCAGAACAAAUUUAAAACUAUAAUAAUUUGGAUGUCUCUGUUAUGGACAUAAACCAACAAAAAUAGAAUGAAGACUUGUAAAGAUAUAGAAGCUUAAUGUAGUAGUUUAAUCAUGAAAGUGUACAUAGGUGUGAUAAGAUAUCAAAAUUUAAGACUUUCAUGAUACUACUUGUGCAUAUCAGAACAUGUCCAAAAUGAAAUCCAAACUCUAGUAUUUUAAGGACAAACUUAGGGUUAGAGUUACUUGAACCGGAAUUGAAUGUAUCUAUUUGAAUUUUGAAUAAAAGUUGUUCGAAUAUCUAAAAAUCGAUUCUUCAUAUAAGAGAAACAAAAUCUCAAAAAAAAAUAAUCAUUUUCAUCUUGUCUUUAUUGGCCAGUUCAAAACAAAAGAUAGAGGAUCAUAGCAACACAUUUUUGCAUAAAAAUAAUCAUGUAUAGCCCUGCCAAUACUGAGAUAGGGGUGACCAUAUUUCAAAGAAGACAGGGAGAGAUGGAGUGUAGCGGCUGAUGAGAAGUAGGUUUUAGGAGGUUUUGUUUUGAGAAAUCUAAUAUAACCUAAUACUAAAGGGCUUCUAGGUAUUGGAAUUAACUUUGGACAACUUUUGGGCUGCGUUUUGGAACAAAGAAGAUGAGCCAAUUGACCGAAUAGUUUAAAACUUUUUUGGUCAAAUUUUGUCAUUUUUUUCCUUUAUGUUAAUUAAUUUGAGCUUCUAAUUUAGUACCUUUUAUAUUAUAUAAAAUGUUUCAAAUGUACGAAAUUUGAAAUAAAGCAACAAUGAUCUUUAUAAAGAAAAAAACAAUAGGUAAUAAUAGUAAUGUUGAGAAUGAAAAAUAUAAUUUAAAAUUAAUGAAAAUAAUGAUAAAAUGAUGAUAAUUAUAAAAAUUAUAAAGUUAGAGUAACAACUAUGUGCAAUGGAGGCUUUAUUUAAGAUCACAAACAUAUAUAAUAACAUAAUAAUGUAAAUUGCACUACUCUAUUUGAUUUUAAUGUUUACCACUACACAAAUCAAACUUUUGAAAUAUAUGAUAGAAUAGGAUAAAGAUUUUUAUUUUAUAAAUAUCGUUAAAGUUUCAUAAUGAAUACAAGUACUUUAUGUCCUUGGGUUGGUCAAUUACACUAACAGUUGGCUGGAUGGAGCAAAAUCAUAUACAUAUUUCCUCCCCCUAGAAAGAUACAUCAAAACAAUAUGCAUGAUUAUAAACCUGCUAAACUCAAAAGUAAGAUGGUAAAUGAAAAGGAAUUUGUUAAGAAGUGUGUUAGAUGAUUCUAAUGGAGGUACAUACCUACAAAGGAGAGGUAUGAAAAAAUAACAACACAUAUAUUGGAACAUCUCUUCUUAUAUGAAAGCUCUAAUGAGCGACAUCUAUAUAUGAUUGGACGAUACACAUGAUGUUUCUCAAAAAUAAAGAAAAUUGUGGGCUUUUAAUAAGCCCAAUAUUCCACAUUUAUCUUUCAAGUUGAAUGACAUCAUGUGUCUCAUCACAUGAUAUAUUAGCACGACAUUUAUCAGUUUCUCCAAAACAUAAGGAUGUUCUAGCAUGUGUACACUUAUCUUUUCAUAUAUCACCUUUAUAGGUACGCAACCUCAUUUGAAACAUCUAUCACACAACACAAUGAAUUCCUCUUAAUCUACCAUUUUUUUGUAGGUUUGCAGGUUCAAUAUCAUGCAUAUUAAUUUGGUCUAUAUUUCUAAGGCUGAAGACUCCAUUCACCAAACUCUUAUUCUAAUAAAUCAACCCGGGGACAAAAAAUAUAAUUUGUAUUCAUUAGGGAACUCCACUGAAAACUGAAAAAGACACAACAUAAAAAAGUCAACUAUCCUAUUUAAUAAUAUAUCUCUAUAAAAUUAUAUGUGUUUAUAAUAAAAGUAGAAUCGAUAUAUACAUAUAUUAUAAGAGUUUAUAACGUCACAUUAGCUAAUAGAUCUCAUAGCUUCUAUAUUCUAACAGAUCCCGUAGAACCUAAAUUCAGAUAGAUUUUUACAAAAAGUUAAGAAUUCGUAAUAAAUUUAACUUUUUUUAUUGGGAGUGAACUAGGCAGUACCAGCAAAGCUUCGGAACUAUUUCCUCAAGAACAGAUUUUGAACCAUACUAAAUCUAAAUGUCUCUUUUAUGGACACAAAUCAACAAAAACUAAAUGAAGACCUAUAAAGAUAUAGAAGCUUAAAGUAGUCGUUAAUGAUGAAAGUGUACGUCGUGUGUGAUAAGAUAUCAAAAUUUAAGACUUUCAUGAUACUACUUGUGCAUAUAAGAACAUGCCUUAAAUGAAAUCCAAACUCUAGUAUUUAAUGGAGAAACUUAGGGUUAGAUUUCCUCGAGCGGGAUUCGAAAAUAUCUAUCUAAAUUUUGAAUAAAACAUGUUUGAAUAUCUGAAAAUUGAUUCUUCUUAUUAGAGUAACAAAAUCUCAAGAAAAUUCAUUUUCAUCUUGUCUUCAUUGUCCAGUUUAAAACGAAAGAUAGAGGAUCAUAGCAACACAUUUUUGCAUAAAAAUAAUCAUGCAUAGCUUUGCCAAAUUUGAGAUAGGGGUGGACAUUUCACAUCCAGAAACUACAACCUAGAAUUUAGGGUUCAAUCUUUUAUUGCAACUGCGUAUUUGACCUCUCGGACGUCUCAUACAAGCCCAUCAUAUCAUUCAUCGCAUAAACAUAAUGAAAAGUAGUGCGAAUUAAGACUUUUCAUAAAAACGAUAUAGAAGUCUUAAACUCUUUCAUUUAUGUAGAAAUAGGAAAACACUAAGUCUCGAUUCAUCAUCUUAAGACACGACAAUACUUGGGACACGACCC